rnacentral:rRNA from 1 species
AUUGAACGCUGGCGGCAGGCCUAACACAUGCAAGUCGAACGGUAACAGGAAGAGGCUUGCUUCUUUGCUGACGAGUGGCGGACGUGUGAGUAAUGUCUGGGAAACUGCCUGAUGGAGGGGGAUAACUCCUGGAAACGGUAGCUAAUACCGCAUAACGUCGCAAGACCAAAGAGGGGGACCUUCGGGCCUCUUGCCAUCGGAUGUGCCCAGAUGGGAUUAGCUAGUAGGUGGGGUAACGGCUCACCUAGGCGACGAUCCCUAGCUGGUCUGAGAGGAUGAACAGCCACACUGGAACUGAGACACGGUCCAGACUCCUACGGGAGGCAGCAGUGGGGAAUAUUGCACAAUGGGCGCAAGCCUGAUGCAGCCAUGCCGCGUGGAUGAAGAAGGCCUUCGGGUUGUAAAGUACUUUUAGCGGGGAGGAAGGGAGUAAAGUUAAUACCUUGGCGCAUUGACGGUACCCGAAGAAGAAGCACCGGCUAACUCCGUG